rnacentral:misc_RNA from 1 species
CGAUAAUUACCAAAGUCAUUGAAACAGUUAAACAGAAGUUAAUGAGCAUAUGCUGCAUUUAUAACUAUCACAUACUUGAUUGUUUUUCUAUUUUACUGCCUUAAAUAUGCGGUAGAUGAUUCAGUUUUUAGAUUCCCCGAGCCCUUGUCGCUUUGAAAGUAGUAUGCCUAGUGAUUUGUUUUUUGUACAAUAUUUAACAACUUUCAGCAAAAACAUGAUCUUCCGUUGCUUGCAAUCUAAGUGAAGCUCAAUUCCCCGAAUCGGGAUUUUGUACGACAAUAUCUUAACUUGAAAUCAUGAGGAAUCAACACUGUAGAAGUAAAAUAACUGUUUAAUAACAGUGCGAUCUUACCUUUAUCCUAUACUAUUUUUCCUAUUUUCUUUUUGCAUCUGCGUUUAUUGAGUGAAGUGAAAGAGGUAUUUAUUCUACUUAAUAACAUGAAUUUGAACUGACAGAGAUCCAAUAUAUAACAAACAAGAUUCCUAUACUCGUUUAAAAAGGAUUUGAAUAAACUGUUUUUAGGAUACUGUUCUAUUUACUUAUUUAUUUUCAGGCAAAAAAAUAGUGCCGCGUGAAAGACCCUCUUUUGCUUUUCCCGAUUGAAUACAUUAUACAAUUAAAAUCCUUUUUUGCUAAAAGAUUGAAUUUAACCAGCGAUUGAUUGUUUUUAUACGUUCGAGAGUUUCAUCUCCGUUUUUAUUAACUUGCAAGAUCAUUCACAAGACGAAAAAUCCUUGAUCGAAUAACAUUACUUUUUGCUUAUUAAGUUGAACUGUUCAGAUUUAUAGAUGACUAGCCUUGACUGUUCAAUUGCACUUAAACAAGCAAUCACUUUAAUUCACUUCGAUCGUUUCGGUAUAAGACGCACUUCAAAUCCUAAGGGUAGUCGACUCUAUUAAAUUUAUAAAUUUGUUAGCAUAAAUAUAACAUUAUUCUGAAUUGC